rnacentral:misc_RNA from 1 species
AGAACAUAUAUUUACUGGUUCCGUGUCAUCCCUUGCUUGGUUCAUGUCAGCUCAGGAAAUGAGUUUUGUAACCCUAGGACAGCGUGUAUUAGCCAACCCCCUGAAAAUCCGAAUGCAUUAUGGACAUCCAGAUGUAUUUGACAGGUUUUGGUUUCUAACUAGGGGAGGAAUAAGCAAGGCAUCUAAAGUGAUCAACAUCAGCGAGGACAUUUUUGCUGGCUUCAACUGUACAUUACGAGGUGGCAAUGUCACUCACCAUGAGUAUAUACAAGUUGGCAAAGGAAGGGAUGUUGGGUUGAAUCAGAUAUCUAUGUUUG